AUUGAACGCUGGCGGCAUGCCUUACACAUGCAAGUCGAACGGUAACGGGCCUUCGGGUGCCGACGAGUGGCGAACGGGUGAGUAAUACAUCGGAACGUGCCCGAUCGUGGGGGAUAACGAGGCGAAAGCUUUGCUAAUACCGCAUACGAUCUACGGAUGAAAGCAGGAGACCGCAAGGCCUUGCGCGGACGGAGCGGCCGAUGGCAGAUUAGGUAGUUGGUGGGAUAAAAGCUUACCAAGCCGACGAUCUGUAGCUGGUCUGAGAGGAUGAUCAGCCACACUGGGACUGAGACACGGCCCAGACUCCUACGGGAGGCAGCAGUGGGGAAUUUUGGACAAUGGGCGCAAGCCUGAUCCAGCCAUGCCGCGUGCAGGAUGAAGGCCUUCGGGUUGUAAACUGCUUUUGUACGGAAAGAAAAGCCUUCUUUUAAUACAGGAGGGUCAUGACGGUACCGUAAGAAUAAGCACCGGCUAACUACGUG
rnacentral:rRNA from 1 species